rnacentral:rRNA from 1 species
ACGGGACCGCACAAGCGGUGGAUGAUGUGGUUAAUUCGUAUGCAACGCGAAAACCUUACCACCUUUGACAUGUACGGAAUCCUUUAGAGAUAGAGGAGUGCUCGAAAGAGAGCCGUAACACAGGUGCUGCAUGGCUGUCGUCAGCUCGUGUCGUGAGAUGUUGGGUUAAGUCCCGCAACGAGCGCAACCCUUGUCAUUAGUUGCUACAUUCAGUUGGGCACUCUAAUGAGACUGCCGGUGACAAACCGGAGGAAGGUGGGGAUGACGUCAAGUCCUCAUGGCCCUUAUAGGUGGGGCUACACACGUCAUACAAUGGAUGGUACAAAGGGUCGCCAACCCGCGAGGGGGAGCCAAUCCCAUAAAGCCAUUCGUAGUCCGGAUCGCAGUCUGCAACUCGACUGCGUGAAGUCGGAAUCGCUAGUAAUCGUGGAUCAGAAUGUCACGGUGAAUACGUUCCCGGGUCUU